AUUCACUAGGUAAUAAUAAUACUAUAGUUUUUUUUUCCCCCAUAAAAAAAAAAAAAUGUUAAAAUAGAAAGGCGUCUCUCUGCAGUUACAUUUUCUGAUUGGAAUGAAACCUAUUGUAGUCGCGACAACACUCGGAAGUCCCAGUAACAGCAUUGACUGCUCUGUGUAUUUUCUAUGUCAGUUGUAUACUGUUUAAAUUAGUUAAUUAAUCUGUGACAUUGAUUUUUGCACGUUAUUUUGUUGUAGUUUAUGUAUACACCGUGGCAAAAAAUGUUAACAGGUUUUAACAAAAUGAUUGACCGUGACAUGACUGAUUAAUUAAACACAACUGGAGUAACCGAUAUUUUUAAUAAAUCGCUGUAUUUAAAAAUCAACACUAAUGUUGUAGUCACUAUGGGGAAACGUUUUGAUAACUCAUCAAUAUCAAACUGGCAAGACCAACACGUUUUGAUGAUGUUUAGGUAGGUAGACCCACCACAAUAACAAAUAUGGGGUUUUCCAUUAGUCUGAUACUGAUAAUUGAUAACUCCGUGCAAUAAAGUAUAAUUAAUUAAUUUGCCUUUGCAUAUAUUUGGAGAACUGCUUAUCCAAUUGUAUGUAAUGAAACGAGGUAUUAACAUUAUUUAGCAUACGUUAUCGCGAAUGCAAGAUCCUGGGGAUAUAUGGGGGUGUCCAUUCACCCAUCCGUCUAAAACAUUUGGCUCUACCAAAAAAAUGUUCUAUAUAAAACCACGCACAAUAGUUUUAAAAGCAAUCCCAAAGUUGCAGAAAAGCAUAUCAACUACUCAAACAUGCCAAAGCAACCACAAACUUUCAUCUUUUCUGGAAGCUGCAAAGAUGCCAGAGAAGAAGCUCAGAAAACUUGUGUUUCCCUUUGAGGACCUUGAGAGGCAUCUAUCAAGCAAAGUAAACAUAAGCAACUUCCAGCUUUUUCAGCCAAGGUUUGAAGACAUUAAAAGGGCUGAAAUGUUUUUUACACCUUCAAAAAAACAUAAGAUUGAUUAUUUCACAUCGGCUGUAAGGAUGGAUCACGCUCCAUUAAUAACUCAAUCAGAGGUGUGCUUUAUUGGCAGAAGCAAUGUUGGAAAAUCAACUCUUAUAAAAACUUUGUUUUCCUUGGUCCCAGAAACUGAAGUCAGGGUUUCCAAAACUCCGGGACAUACAAAGAAAAUGAACUUCUUUACAGUGGGCAAGGCAUUUACUUUAGUUGACAUGCCUGGUUACGGAUAUAAAGCACCCAAGGAUUUUGUUGAUAUAGUGGAAACAUACCUAGAAACACGACAUAAUUUGAAGAGAACAUUUUUGCUUGUGGAUGGCUCGGUAGGACUGCUGCAUGCAGACAGAAUAGCCAUUGAUAUGUGUGAAGAAUUUGGACUUCCAUAUGUUACCUCCUGGACUCCCCUGACGUUUAUCAUCUCAGCACAGAAAGACUAAAAGUGUGGGAAGUUGUUCUGUAGUGACUGGGGUUUGUGUUUUUGAUUGUGAAUAGCAGGAAAAGCUACAUUGUGGCCUAGACGCUUAAAUGAGUCUUAGCACUCAAGUGUUGCUCCUUAGUAUGGCUGACAUUGUCAGUUCUUUCAUAUGAAAUACAUACAAAGUGAUUCACUGUUUGCACAGUAAUGAUGAAUGUAUGUUUUGUAUAAUUCAUCAUACAGUCAGGAUUCCCAUAUGGAGUGUGAAAUCUCCUUGCUGUACACGAUUGGUUUACUUUAUACAGCUUGUGAUUACCAAAAUUGACAAGGCAAAGCAGGGAGAACUUUUGAGGCACAUCCUGGAGGUCCAAGAGGUCAUACAGAAUCAUACCGUAGGCUGUUUUCCUCAGCCAUUCCUUGUAAGUUCUUUGCACUAUUCUGGGGU